UACGGAAGAUCCGAGCGUUAUCCGGAAUUACUGGGCGUAAAGAGUUGCGUAGGUGGCUUCAGAAAGCAAGCAGUGAAAUAUCACGGCUCAACCGUGGGUACAUUGUUUGAACUACUAGGCUUGAGCAUGAGAGAGGUAGAUGGAAUUUCUAGUGUAGGAGUGAAAUCCGUAGAUAUUAGAAGGAACACCGAUGGCGUAGGCAGUCUACUGGCUCAUUGCUGACACUAAGGCACGAAAGCGUGGGGAGCGAACGGG
rnacentral:rRNA from 1 species